rnacentral:lncRNA from 1 species
AAGGUGAAUGUUCGCGAAAGCGUGAACGUGAAAGAGAAAUGCAUGAGCUGGUCAUGUACUCCGUACAACAGCACUCAUGGCAGGAUGCUGGCUUCAUCCUGUUACGGACUUCUGGUGGUACCGCCAUCAUGCAAAUAUAUACCUAAAAGACAAGGCAUAUACCCGGAUUGCUGUCCAAAGGCAGAGUGUCCCAAGAACACAACACAUGGGUAAACAAGGCACAUACGAAUAAAAAAUGUUUCAGAC